UUUGUACACACCGCCCCUCGCUACUACCGAUUGAAUGGCUCAGUGAGGCCUUCGGACUGGCCCAGGGAGGUCGGCAACGACCACCCAGGGCCGGAAAGUUGGUCAAACUCGGUCAUUUAGAGGAAGUAAAAGUCGUAACAAGGUCUCCGUAGGUGAACCUGCGGAGGGAUCAUUA
rnacentral:rRNA from 1 species